GGGAAAUAUAUUUUAUGCAUUUGUAUGUUAAUUAAUUAUGUUGGUGAAAUAAAAGAAUAUAUAUAUAUAUAUACAUAUAUAUGUCUAAAUUUUGAAAUGGUUAUUUGUAAUGCAUGUGGCUUUGUUGAGACUCUAUGACUUGUGAUCAAGUUAAUUAUGACUUGGUGUGAGUAAUGAGAUUGAUGGUUGUUGAUUAUGUGUACACUCUUGAUUAUGAAUUGUGGAUUAUGCAUAGUGAUGAAUUGUAUGAACAUGUUGAGUUUUAUAUGAUGCUAAUGUGGUUUUGUAUGAUAAUAUAAAAAUUGAUGCAAGAGGCAUGAUUGAAAUAUGAUGAUUCUUGAUGUUUGUUGAGCAAAAAAGUUGAUGAGCAUGUGGGAUAAUUUUGAAUUAUAUAUAUGAGUUUUUGAAAUGCAUUUUUUCAUGAGUAUGAUCAUAUGACGGGAGUUCGCCUUAGUGAAGGAAUUAGCGGUUAUGCAAAAUCCAUAUGGUACUUGGCUAUUAACUAAUAAUCCUAGGGGUUAUAGCCGCUACUUACCUUGUACGGUAUUGUAGCAUUGUUCCUAUUAAGGGACUUGACCCCACUGGCCUACCUGGAGUUUUGCGUAGAGUUAGUUUUGGGUAUGACACCCCAUAGUGUGUGAUUUAGGGGAAACCAUGUUCAUAAGUGAGUAAGGUAACCCUGACCUGGUAGCCCCUCAUAAUAUGAUUAAGGCCUUGGGUAGUCUCACCACAUGGACGAUCCCUUUCGGUUGUUGGCCCAUAGAUUUCAUGUCAGAGGAAAUAAGGGGGGAUAUAAGGAAGAGAUCGGUCAUGUAUAUUAUUACUAUCAUGUCAUUGGAGUGAUUGAUAGCUAUGUUGAGAAUAUGAUUAUAAUUGUAGAAAUGAGAACAUGUAGUAAUUAUGCGAAUAAUGUAUAUGUAGCUAUUUGUGCAAAUUUUGUACUUGACUUUAUUCUUAAAAUUAUGUACAUAAGUUAAAUGUUAAUGUGAUUAACAUGUUAUUAAUGUGAUUGUUUGAAUGGUCACCUUGAUAAAUUUAUUGGCCACUUGCAUUCAUGAUUAAUUAUCAUGCAUUUGUAUAACUUAGAGAUACCUUGAUUACUGAGUGGUUGUAUUCACCUUUCUCUUUUAACAUAUUAUAGGAGCUAGCUCAUCUCAGAAGAACAGAGAAAAGGAGCAUUAGGCCAAGUGAUAGUUGUGGCAUAUGGGGACCGGGCUAGAUGAGCACACACUCAAGCAUGAAGACAUGAAUAAAUAGAGGUGGAGAGGUGACCUAAUGGAUAGAUAUUGGAUGUGGCAAACUUGAUAGAUUUCACUUUCGAAGAACUAAAGGUAGCAACUAGAAAUUUCAGAGCUAAAUCUAUAUUAGGAGAGAGGCUUUGGUAGGGUGUACAAGGAUUGGCUUAAAGGGAUUAUAUUGUGUACUUUAAAUUUGGCAGGGAUUUUAAUGUGGCAAACUUAUAUUAUAUUGUGUACUUUAAAUUUCUUAUACAGUUAUUGUUUAUGGAUUGAAUUAUUUGUUAAUAAAAAUUUCACUUGCGAGUCAAUUGCUUGAUUGAAUUGGAUUUAUUUAUAACCAAUUUGCAAUUCAAUGAGGAAAUAAUGAGGAAAUUAUUUCUCUCCAAUUAAACCAAUUUUGAGGAAAUAGUGAGGAUUUAGUUCCUUACUAAUUUGUUACCAAGGAAAAAGGCCUUGCUAUUUUGUUACUAAUAAUAAAAUAAUAAAAUUUAUUAGCGAGGAAAUUGCGAUGACAAUCUAAAUGGUCAUGAUAAAAAUAUAAGAUUAGUGAGGAAAUUAUGGUCUCGCUACUAUUAGUGAGGAAAUUAGGUCCUUACUAAUCUCUUGCUAAAUUAUUGAGGAAAACAUUAUUCUUUGCUAAUUAUUAGUGACCCAUCAUUUAGCUACAAAUUUAGUGAGGAAAUAAUGAGAAAAUUAUUUCCUCACUAAAUCAUGAUUAUUGAGGAAUAAGUCAUAUUUUAUGAUGAAUAUGAUCCUUGCUAAAUCCUAAUUUAUCAUCCUGAUGAAUAGAAUCCAACAUGUCCUGAAAAGGAUUUCAAAUUUUUCACACAAGUAGGUAUGGUAAUGAAGCAGUCACAUCAACCUUAGCCCUAUCAUCUCUAUGCCCUUUGAAGAAGUCAAAUGACCCAAGACAAUGCUCUUGUCGAUCAUAAAAUGACAUUUUUCAAAGUUAAGCAUAAGCUUCUUUUCACCUAUCAAGCACUUUAUCUAAAGAAUGCAAGCAUGACUCAAAAGACUCGCCAUAUACUAUGCAAUCAUCCAUAAAAACCUCUACACUAUUUUUAAUGAAAUCACAAAAGAUAGACAUCAUGCAUCUUUGGAAAGUUUCAGGUGCAUUACAUAGACUAAAAGGCAGCCUCCUAUAAGCAAAAGUACUAAAGGGGCAUGUAAAAGUGGUAUUGUCUUGAUCAUUAAGAGCUAUGGGAAUUUGAAAGUAUCCACUAAAACUAUCAAGGAAGCAAUAAUGAGACUUAGAAGCCAACCUCUUAAGUAUUUGAUCACUAAAAGGCAAUGAAAAAUGGUCCUUCCUAGUCAUAUUAUCAAGCUUCCUAUAAUCAAUGUACACUCUCCAAGAAUUUUGAAGUCUAGUAGGGAUAAGCUCUCCUUUCUCAUUUUUAAUCACAGUAAUUCAUCCCUUUUUAGGGACAACUUAAGUUGGAGAUACCCACUCAUUGUCAACUAUGGGGUAUAUGAUCCUAGCACUAAGCAACUUAACUACCUCUUUCUUUAAAACAUCUAAAAUUAAUGGGUUAAGUAUCCUUUGUAGUUGCCUGGUGUGUUUAGCAUUGUCCUUUAGAAAAAUUUUAUAAGUUCAUACAAUAGGGUAUAUUCUAGGAAUAUCAACUAAAGUCCAACCAAUAACAUGCCUAUUCUUUCUUAAAACAUCAAGCAAUGCACUUUCUUCUUUAAGAGAUAGAGAGUUAGAAAUUAUUACUGAAAGCUUCUUAGGAGAUAUGCAUAUUUGAGAUUGGAUGGCAAAGGCUUCAACGCGAAGGUAGAUGGCUCCACACAAGAAAGAAUGACUUUCUUCAAGUCCAACUUGGGUGUAGAACUCAUAGCCCCCUUGCUAAAUUUAGGCUCCUUAAUUGCUUUUUCUCUUUUUCAACCCUCACAGCGCCUCACUUUUUAUUCAACUUAUCUUCAAGUGCCUAAACUAUAGCCACAGCCUUGGAUUUUGGAAGUAUAGAAUUUUCUUCCAAUAGCUUUGGUCUCAAUGACAUUAGUACCUACAACACAAGAAAAUAUACCCUUCUCAAGCAUUUCAAGUUUAAGAAUAGUAGAGAUUUCAAACUCAUCAACAAAUCAUGAGAAGAAGUAGUUGCAUCAUUCAAACAUGAAGUUAAAUUCAAUCCUUCUAUUCUCUUAUACCCACUAUCUCUUGUUGAAUGGGUUAAUCGCACACUUAUCAAAAUAAUAAUAGUUCUAACCCUAAUGUAAUAUAGGGUCAACCUUAGGUCAUCUCCCUAGUGAGUGUUUCAAUUUAAUUAUGAAGUUAUUUAGUGAACAAAUUACCUAUAAGUUGAAGAGUUUAGCCACUAAAUAAUGAACAAAAAUGCUAAAACCUAGACUAAAGAAUGAGUGAAGUGAAUACCCUUUAAUAAAGUGGAGCCCUAGAGUUUAGAUAGUAGAAAAAUCAUUACCUAUCUUAUUAAUUGUGGAUUUAGUGAUUGAUUUCUCUUCUUGGCCUCUUAGUAGUUCCUUAUGAAGACUAUCUUAAAAAACUUGAUCUAGCUAGUUUAAUUCCCUAAGUCAUCACUAAUAUCCUUAGGUUCUUUCCCUAGUUUGAUUUUAGAAUGACUAAGUGUUUAGGUUAGACAGACCCUAGUGAAACCAUGGCACAUCAAUGGUUAGAUUGAACCCUAAGACUAUGGUAGUUCUCUCUAAUAUUUUAACCUUACUCACAAGACUAUAUAAGAGCAAAGAAAAAGAAUCAUCAAUAGAAAAACACAAGAUUAUGUAUAUUUCUAGAGAUGGCUGAAUCAACCAAACAAGUAUCUCUCAUUACUUCAAAAUGAAUUCCAAUUAGAAUUACAAACCAGUUAUAGAAUAACCCUAGACUAAAGUGUUAAACAUCAAAUUAAAUAAGAGAAAUGAAGUGAAUUAGAAAGUCUUAUCCAUUAGAAGCCUAUUGAUUCAUCCUCCGUCCAUCUUCCCUCUAGGAUCCCUUGAGAAAUCUAGCAAUCCAUCAUUAUCUUCAAAGCUUCCAAAUUGAGAACCAAAGUGGCUAAACCCUUAAUCUCCUUCCAAUGAUGAUAUUAGCCUUCAAUCCUUGAUUUUAUUAGAGUGUUUGGAUGAGAUUAGAGAGAAAGGAGAAGAAUGAAUGUGAUUUUGUGUGAUUUAGAUGAGAAAUGAGAGAGAUAUGGGUAAUUGAUUGGAUGGAAAAAUUGAAAAACAAGUGAGAAAGUGAGAGAAAAUGUUUGAAGAUAGAAAAAGGAGUGAGAGAUAUGAAUUGCACAAAAUUGGUUAAUAGAAAAUGAGAGAAAAGAGAUAGAAACUUGCAAAGGGUUGUGGUUUUCAACUAAUUAUCCACUUAGCCAAAACUACUUGUGAAUUUGGAAGAAAAUUGAUGACAAUUCCAAUGUGGAAUACAAUGCAUUAUUCCAAGCCUAAUUUGGACCUCUCCAAAUCUGAUAAUGUCAUGCCUCUUUUUCCAUUUAAAAGCUCUAUUUGAUUGCUUUGAAUUAUGUCUUCAUUUGUCACAUUAAUUCACCUAGGUUACAAUUAAAUCAAAUAAUCAUAACGUAACGUUUAUUUAAUUAGACUAAGAUAAAUUCAUUCAAAGUAUUAAAAUUACUAAGGAAAAAUGAAUAUGAAAGCCUCACAAGACAUAAAUGUAGACAAGCAUGCACUUGAACUAAAGUCAAAGGCUAAUUGAAAACCAUUAGGGAGACAAUGUUAAAAAGUUGUCUUUUCUUAAUAACUCUCAACCUAAGAUGAAUAUAUAAAAAAUAAUUUGAGAAAUCAUUUGAGCCCAUUAAAAACCAUAAAUUUCUAGCUUAACCCUACUUUGGUGAAAAAGUGAAUUUUAUGACCAAAAUGCCCUUUAUGCAUGUAAUUGAACAAUUAGGCAAAUUUACACUAAGAAUAUGUAAUGAAUGCAUAUGGAGACUUUUAAUGUGUAUAAAAUGGUCCAAAUAAGUUCUUGUAAGGCUAAAUGGAGAUAUGGUCAUUAAUACAAGAAAGGAGGGUAUACAGGCAAGAAGGCACACGAGGCUGCUGAAAUGAUUGUAAGUAAUAUUUAAUUUUUUUAAUUCAAUUAUUCAUUAUGAUUUUUUCUGUUUAUUAUAUGAGGCUCUUAAGGAACAACAAGAUCAAGGAUCCUUUGCUCCAGAGGGUAGAAAUGACAUCUUGGUGGUUGCUACAAGCAAAUCAGAGCAUUCGGGGUGUGCUAGAGGUGUUGAAUUUGGUGUGGGAAUCACAUAUUACUUUGAAGUACCUGCAUGCUCUAGUAGCCCGAGUAUUAUUAUGAGAGAGGAGUUGGAAAUUGUAAUGACAAAUAUAAGGCAACAAGUAAUGAAGGAUGUCGAAGCUUCAUUUGAAGCCUGCUUGGAAGUCUGCUUGGAAGCCCAACUUGCAAAAAUGAAAGAGGAGAUGAUGACCUUUAUGACCUGACAACAAGAGACAACUACUGAUGCACCUCAUACACAGUCUCUUAGAUUUCAUAGCACGAAAGAUAUUAAUGUUCUUGGACGUGUGUCAGAGGGCCCUUUAGUGGGAAAUACUAAUGAACUUUGUAAGCUAUAUCUAAAGGACCUUGAUAGAUGUUUGGUCACUCUUGGUAGCGUUCACACUUCGAGACAAACUAUCCACCAUAGGCAAAUGCAAGAAGAUCAUGUGAGAGUGGUGGUAGAAGAUGUAAAAGUACUAGAGGUACUCGUUCCAUGCCCUCCCUCCUGAUGAGAUGAAGACUAUGUCUGAAGCUGUUAGUACUUUUACCAUAUGACUUAUGAAAUUUGUGAAUAUAGUUCAAGUUGUGAUAUGUUUUAUUAAAUAUUUCAUGCAUUUUAUUAAAUAUUUCUUUCUCAUCA